rnacentral:rRNA from 1 species
AACCUGCCUGGUAGCGGGGGAUAACUAUUGGAAACGAUAGCUAAUACCGCAUAAGAGUAGAUGUUGCAUGACAUUUGCUUAAAAGGUGCAAUUGCAUCACUACCAGAUGGACCUGCGUUGUAUUAGCUAGUUGGUGGGGUAACGGCUCACCAAGGCGACGAUACAUAGCCGACCUGAGAGGGUGAUCGGCCACACUGGGACUGAGACACGGCCCAG